rnacentral:tRNA from 1 species
GCGAACGUGGCGGAAUUGGCAGACGCACCAGACUUAGGAUCUGGCGGGGGAAACCCCGUGGGGGUUCAACUCCCCCCGUUCGCACCA